rnacentral:rRNA from 1 species
CUACGGGGUGCACCAGUGGGGAAUAUUGCACAAUGGGCGCAAGCCUGAUGCAGCCAUGCCGCGUGUAUGAAGAAGGCCUUCGGGUUGUAAAGUACUUUCAGCGGGGAGGAAGGGAGUAAAGUUAAUACCUUUGCUCAUUGACGUUACCCGCAGAAGAAGCACCGGCUAACUCCGUGCCAGCAGCCGCGGUAAUACGGAGGGUGCAAGCGUUAAUCGGAAUUACUGGGCGUAAAGCGCACGCAGGCGGUUUGUUAAGUCAGAUGUGAAAUCCCCGGGCUCAACCUGGGAACUGCAUCUGAUACUGGCAGGCUUGAGUCUCGUAGAGGGGAGUAGAAUUCCAGGUGUAGAGGUGAAAUGCGUAGAGAUCUGGAGGAAUACCGGUGGCGAAGGCGGCCCCCUGGACGAAGACUGACGCUCAGGUGCGAAAGCGUGGGGAGCAAACAGGAUUAGAUACCCUUGUAGUC